rnacentral:rRNA from 13 species
ACAGCCUGGUAUUGAACCGUUCCCUUAACCGACUCAGGUGAACAGGGUCUUUAUAGGGCCUACAGCGAUUGAGACAACCACAGUGAAGGAACUCGGCAAAUUGCAUCCGUACGUUCGCAAGAAGGAUGGCUUAUAAAGAGCGACACAGAAACGGGGGUGGCGACUGUUUCUUAAAAACACAUGGGGGUGCGAAUUGAAGGAGAUGUAUACCCCCUGACACCUGCCCGGUGCCAGCUGCUCACACGGCGUUCUACACUACGAUGGAACAAAGGAAAGGCCUGGUAAACGGCGGCCGUAACUCUAACGGUCCUAAGGUAGCGAAAUU